rnacentral:rRNA from 1 species
GUAGGUGGCAAGCGUUGUCCGGAAUUAUUGGGCGUAAAGCGCGCGCAGGCGGUUCUUUAAGUCUGAUGUGAAAGCCCACGGCUCAACCGUGGAGGGUCAUUGGAAACUGGAGAACUUGAGUACAGAAGAGGAAAGCGGAAUUCCACGGGUAGCGGUGAAAUGCGUAGAGAUGUGGAGGAACACCAGUGGCGAAGGCGGCUUUCUGGUCUGUAACUGACGCUGAGGCGCGAAAGCGUGGGGAGCAAACAGGGAUUAGAUACCCUGGUAGUCCACGCCGUAAACGAUGAGUGCUAAGUGUUAGGGGGGUUUCCGCCCCCUUAGUGCUGCAGCUAACGCAUUAAGCACUCCGCCUGGGGAUACGGCCGCAAGGCUG